rnacentral:rRNA from 1 species
CUCACCCGUUAAAUCGCCGCUCGCCGGCGAGGAAGUACGGUUCCUGCAAGGUUAAAACUCAAAUGCAAUGUGACGGGGGCCCGCACAAGCGGUGGAGCAUGUGGUUUAAUUCGAUGCAACGCGAAGAACCUUACCUACUCUUGACAUCCAGAGAACUUAGCAGAGAUGCUUUGGUGCCUUCGGGAACUCUGAGACAGGUGCUGCAUGGCUGUCGUCAGCUCGUGUUGUGAAAUGUUGGGUUAAGUCCCGCAACGAGCGCAACCCUUAUCCUUUGUUGCCAGCGGUUCGGCCGGGAACUCAAAGGAGACUGCCAGUGAUAAACUGGAGGAAGGUGGGGAUGACGUCAAGUCAUCAUGGCCCUUACGAGUAGGGCUACACACGUGCUACAAUGGCGUAUACAAAGAGAAGCGAACCUGCGAGGGCAAGCGGACCUCAUAAAGUACGUCGUAGUCCGGAUUGGAGUCUGCAACUCGACUCCAUGAAGUCGGAAUCGCUAGUAAUCGUAGAUCAGAAUGCUACGGUGAAUACGUUCCCGGGCCUUGUACACACCGCCCGUCACACCAUGGGAGUGGGUUGCAAAAGAAGUAGGUAGCUUAACCUUCGAGAGGGCG